rnacentral:rRNA from 1 species
AGUUCGAUCCUGGCUCAGAUUGAACGCUGGCGGGAUGCUUUACACAUGCAAGUCGAACGGCAGCACGGACUUCGGUCUGGUGGCGGCGAACGGGUGAGUAAUGUAUCGGAACGUGCCUAGUAGCGGGGGAUAACUACGCGAAAGCGUAGCUAAUACCGCAUACGCUCCCUUCGGGGGAAAGCGGGGGACCUUCGGGCCUCGCACUAUUAGAGCGGCCGAUAUCGGAUUAGCUAGUUGGUGGGGGUAACGGCUCACCAAGGCGACGAUCCGUAGCUGGUUUGAGAGGACGACCAGCCACACUGGACUGAGACACGGCCCAGACUCCUACGGGAGGCAGCAGUGGGGAAUUUUGGAUAAUGGGGGAAACUUGGAUCCAGCCAUCUCAAGUGUGCGAUGAAGGCCUUCGGGUUGUAAAGCACUUUUGGUAGGAAAGAAACGGCACGUGGGAUAAUACCCGUGCAACUGACGGUACCUGCAGAAUAAGCACCGGCUAACUACGUGCCAGCAGCCGCGGUAAUACGUAGGGUGCAAGCGUUAAUCGGAAUUACUGGGCGUGAAGCGUGCGCAGGCGGUUCGGAAAGAAAGAUGUGAAAUCCCAGAGCUUAACUUUGGAACUGCAUUUUUAACUACCGAGCUUGUAGAGUGUGUCAGAGGGAGGUGGAAUUCCGCGUGUAGCAGUGAAAUGCUGCGUAGAUGAUACCCAAUGGAUGACUGACAGCAGCCCGAUACAACGAGCUAUGCACGAAAGCGUGGGGAGCAAACAGGAUUAGAUACCCUGGUAGUCCACGCCCCAAACGAUGUCAACUAGCUGUUGGGGCCUUCGGGCUCGGUAGCGCAGCUAACGCGUGAAGUUGACCGCCUGGGGAGUACGGUCGCAAGAUUAAAAACUCAAAGGAAUUGACGGGACCCGCACAAGCGGUGGAUGAUGUGGAUUAAUUGAUGCAACGCGAAAAACCUACCUACCCUUGACAUGUCUGGAAUCCCGAAGAGAUUUGGGAGUGCUUGCAAGAGAACCGGAACACAGGUGCUGUAUGGCUGUCGUCAGCUCGUGUCGAGAUGAAGGUUCCAUCGAUGCAACCCCGGCUGCGAGUUAGAAGAAAGUACUCCAGGAUGAUCACUUGCACAACUGAUGAUACUAUGGAUGACGUCAAGUCCUCAUGGCCCUUAUGGGUAGGGCUUCACAUCGUCAUACAAUGGUCGGGACAGAGGGUCGCCAACCCGCGAGGGGGGAGCCAAUCCCAGAAACCCGAUCGUAGUCCGGAUCGCAGUCUGCAACCUGACUGCGUGAAGUCGGAAUCGCUAGUAAUCGCGGAUCAGCAUGUCGCGGUGAAUACGUUCCCGGGUCUUGUACACACCGCCCGUCACACCAUGGGGAGUGGGUUUUACCAGAAGUAGUUGUGUUUCCAAUCCGUAAGGAGGGCGAUUACCACGGUAGGAUUCAUGACUGGGGUGAAGUCGUAACACAAGGUAG